rnacentral:rRNA from 1 species
UGAGUACGAGAUGCUACGGCAUCGAAGCAGUCUAUGUCAUACUUCCAAGAAAAGCUUGCACUGUCAUAAACAAAGAAUGCCUGUACCAUAACCGACACAGGUGGGUAGGUAGAGUAUACUAAGGGGCGCGAGAUAACUCUCUCUAAGGAACUCGGCAAAAUGACUCCGUAACUUCGGGAGAAGGAGUGCCUUAUUUCUAAGGUUGCAAUAACAAGAUCCAAGCAGCUGUUUACCAAAAACACAGGUCUCCGCUAAGUCGUAAGACGAUGUAUGGGGGCUGACGCCUGCCCAGUGCCAGAAGGUUAAAGAAGUUGGUUAGCAUUAGCGAAGCUGAUAACUGAAGCCCUGGUGAACGGCGGCCGUAACUAUAACGGUCCUAAGGUAGCGAAAUUCCUUGUCGGGUAAGUUCCGACCCGCACGAAAGGCGUAAUGAUUUGGAUACUGUCUCGGAGAGGGGCUCGGUGAAAUAGACUUGUCUGUGAAGAUGCGGACUACCUGCACCUGUACAGAAAGACCCUAUGAAGCUUUACUGUAACUUGAGAUUGAAAUUGGACUUUAUUUGCGCAGUAUAAGUGGGAGGCGUUGAGAAUAAUCUUGCGGGAUUGUUGGAGCAUCAGUGAGAUACCACUCUUGUAAUGUUAGAUUUCUAACUUUGUAUCAUUAUCUGGUCAAAGAACAGUUUCAGGCGGGCAGUUUGACUGGGGCGGUCGCCUCCCAAAGGGUAACGGAGGCGCACAAAGGUUUCCUCUGAACGGGUAGAAAUCGUAUCUAGAGUGUAAAGGCAUAAGGAAGCUUGACUGUGAGACCUACAAGUCGAGCAGGGACGAAAGUCGGUCUUAGUGAUCUGACGGUGCUGAGUGGAAAGGCCGUCACUCAACGGAUAAAAGUUACUCUAGGAUAACAGGCUGAUCUCCCCCAAGAGUUCACAUCGACGGGGAGGUUUGGCACCUCGAUGUCGGCUCAUCGCAUCCUGGGGCGGUAGUCCGUCCCAAGGGUUGGGCUGUUCGCCCAUGAAAGCGGUACGCGAGCUGGGUUCAGAACGUCGUGAGACAGUUCGGUCCAUAUCCGGUGUAGGCGUUAGAAUAUUGAGAGGAGCCUUCUCUAGUACGAGAGGACCGAGAAGGACAUACCUCUGGUGUACCAGUUAUCGUGCCAACGGUAAACGCUGGGUAGCUAUGUAUGGAGUGGAUAACCGCUGAAAGCAUCUAAGUGGGAAGCCCACCUCAAGAUAAG